rnacentral:rRNA from 1 species
CCUACGGGAUGCUGCAGUGGGGAAUAUUGGACAAUGGGCGAAAGCCUGAUCCAGCCAUGCCGCGUGUGUGAAGAAGGCCUUCGGGUUGUAAAGCACUUUCAGUGGGGAAGAAAGCCUUGGGGCUAAUACCCUCGAGGAAGGACAUCACCCACAGAAGAAGCACCGGCUAACUCCGUGCCAGUAGCCGCGGUAAUACGGAGGGUGCGAGCGUUAAUCGGAAUUACUGGGCGUAAAGCGCGCGUAGGCGGUCUGAUAAGCCGGUUGUGAAAGCCCCGGGCUCAACCUGGGAACGGCAUCCGGAACUGUCAGGCUAGAGUGCAGGAGAGGAAGGUAGAAUUCCCGGUGUAGCGGUGAAAUGCGUAGAGAUCGGGAGGAAUACCAGUGGCGAAGGCGGCCUUCUGGACUGACACUGACGCUGAGGUGCGAAAGCGUGGGUAGCAAACAGGAUUAGAUACCCUAGUAGUC